rnacentral:miRNA from 1 species
AGCUCCGAACUCGCGGUGCCCG